rnacentral:rRNA from 1 species
GAUGAACGCUGGCGGCGUGCCUAAUACAUGCAAGUCGAGCGAACAGACGAGGAGCUUGCUCCUCUGACGUUAGCGGCGGACGGGCGAGUAACACGUGGAUAACCUACUUAUAAGACUGGGAUAACUUCGGGAAACAGGAGCUAAUAAUGGAUAAUAUAUUGAACCGCAUGGUUCAAUAGUGAAAGACGGUUUUGCUGUCACUUAUAGAUGGAUCCGUGCCGCAUUAGCUAGUUGGUAAGGUAACGGCUUACCAAGGCAACGAUGCGUAGCUGACCUGAGAGGGUGAUCAGCCACACUGGAACUGAGACACGGUCCAGACUCCUACGGGAGGCAGCAGUAGGGAAUCUUCCGCAAUGGGCGAAAGCCUGACGGAGCAACACCGCGUGAGUGAUGAAGGUCUUCGGAUCGUAAAACUCUGUUAUUAGGAAAGAACAAAUGUAUAAUUAACUAUGCACGUCUUGACGGUACCUAAUCAGAAAGCCACGGCUAACUACGUG